GACGAACGCUGGCGGCGUGCCUAAUACAUGCAAGUCGGACGCAGUUGCGACCGGGUGAGUCACGCAUAGGUCACUACCUAUUAGAGGGGGAUAACUAUUGGAAACGAUAGCUAAUACCGCAUACUAGUAGAUGGACCUGCGUUGUAUUAGCUAGUAGGUAGGGUAAUGGCCUACCCAGGCAACGAUACAUAGCCGAACUUGGUGGGUGAUUGGGCACAAUGGGAAUGAGGACAGGGCCAGACUCCCACGGGAGGGAGCAGUAGGGAAUUGUUCGGAAUGGGGGGAACCCCGAACGAGGCAAGGCGGGUGAGUGAAGAAGGGUUUUCGAAUGGAAAGAUCUGUUUGUAAAGAAGAGGGAAGUUAACAGAAAAGGACGGCUAACUACGUGCCAGCAGCCGCGGUAAUAC
rnacentral:rRNA from 1 species